rnacentral:lncRNA from 1 species
GUGCAGGUAACUGUAAGCGAUUUUGCACCUUCCCCUCUCCCUGCCUUCGGCACGAUGACCCUCUUUUAUGGAGACUCGGGCACUCACACGACUAGCAAAAGGGAAAGCCCGGCCUAGAGCCCUGUCUGUCCUGACGCGUUCAGCCCCCUCCAGUUGAGGCUCCCCUCUAGCCGCCUGCCUCCGCUCCCAUUCCUCCCGGAGACUCGGAUCUGGCGCUUACCUUCCAAAGGCGUGUGUCUCAUCCGACCUACACAGUCUACCUUACACAGUCUCCAAGCCCCACUUCCCUCCCUCCCACCGUAGCACAUCCCACCAAGAAAAAACACUGGCAGAAAUCUAGUCUACUGAACGCUAAUAGUUUUCUUGUGCUCAUUUCUUCCUACUUUUCAAAACUAGUUGUUCUGUUGAGCGUCUACUAAAUGCCACCUUUGUACUACUCACUUUACAAGCUUUAUAUCACUUAUUCCUAAGUCCUGCCAGAGAAAAAAAUCUUUGCCUAAUAUACAGAUGUAGUCACUGGGGUUCAGGGAAGAGAAGUCAAAGACAGGCAGAGAUAUGCAGAACUCAAACCCUAACCUGACUCUCAACACACUUUCAUCCCUAAGGUACUGGGGAUUGAACGCAGGUCUACCACUGAGCUACAUCCCCAGCCCUUUCUAUUUUGAGAAGGGGUUGUUGAAUUGCUCAGGCUGGCCUCAAACUUGAGAUCCCCCACAGCCUCCUGAGUCUCUGGGACUGCAGGCGUGCACCACUACACUGGACUUGACUCUACACAUUUGGGGGGGGGGUACUGGGGCUUGAACUCAGGGGCACUCGACCACUGAGCCACAUCCCCAGCCCCAUUUUGUAUUUCAUUUAGAGAAAGGGUCUCACUGAGUUACUUAGCACCUCACCUUGCUGAGGCUGACUUUGAACUCCAGAUUCUCCUGCCUCAGCCUCCAGAGCUGAGCUGCUGGGAUUACAGGCAUGUGCCUCUGCGGCCAGCUGACUCUACACUCUUAACCAAGAAUCCACUUUGGAAUAUGUCAAAACACAAAAAUAAUGUUAAGAUCUCAAUUUGCUUCAUGAUUCUAAAAUCAGGAAACACUUCAUCCCAUAAAAUGGAAUGAACAUUCUGAUAAACUGAGCAGGGGAGGUUGGUUUUCUAGACAAACCAAAGUUAAGGAAAGCAGAAAGAGGAAACAGAAAGCAGAUUAGUUGUUUCAAAGUUACUCUGUUGAACCAGGACGCAAAGACAAGACCACUGACUCCAAUUUUAAAUCAAAUUAAAGCAAGCUUGUAUUGUGUACACAAAAGCUGGCCAGCGGCUGUAUCUUCCAAAGCCGGGCUAGAGAUUGGCUAGAGAUCAGCCCAGCUCUCAGGAAGGAAAAGGUUUAUAUAGCAUAAAAAGUGACAAAGGGGGGUGUCUUGGGAACUUACAGCCAACAGGGUUCUGGCAAACAUAUUACAAGGGCAAAUAGCAGCUUAAUGAUCUACAUGGCAUGAUAUUUCAAGGUAGGAAGUAAAUUCAGAUCCUAACAUCAGAAUUUAUGAGGUGCUGCUGAGGUUUCAGAGAGAGUUGUUAUCUGAUCAAGGGGAGCCAGGAUUUAUGAGGCACCACUAAGGUUUUAGAGAGGGUUGUUAUCUGAUUAAAGGGAGCCAGGAAUGGGUGAAUUCAGAGCACGGCCAGGAAUUCCAAACAAGUUUAGAAAUCUCAGUAAUUUAUAAUAAAAUAGAAAUUAUCUUUUCACGACUUUGUGACAAGAUGGCUCCCAGUCUUAAGAUGGAAUUAGGCUGAGUUCAUCAACUUUCCUUACACAGGUUAAAACAGGGGAGACUUGGGGCUGAAGAUAUAGCUCAGUUGGUAGAGUACUUUCCUUGCAUGCACAAGACCCUGGGUUCUAUCCCCAGCAACACACACACACUCACACUCACAAAAGGGAGACUUAUCAUGUUGGCUAAAACUGGCCUGUUUGGGGAUUGGCUAUUAUCUCUCUCCUGAUUUCUCAGGUCAGAUAAACAGCUUAGCUUUGGCUUGGUGUCAGAAUUUUGGCUGGAGAGACUGAAGGAUAUUCAGAAUAAUAAGUCCAAGGACAUUUCCACUAUUUGCAACUGUUCCCCCACUUGUCCUCCUUCUCUGGGGUAAAAUUGAAACUUUUGUCAUUUAAAAGUCCAGGCCUCAGCACAAAAAGAAUCUGAUUGGCACCAGACCCCAAUACCAUAAGCCCCAGGAAAUUCCCUAUUCACACUCCUGUCCCACCCUAAGGUAUCAGCCAACCCAAUACAAUGAACCCCAGAAACUACCCUCCUGUCACCACCAAAUGAAGCCUAUAUAACUGUAAGGAUGGCCUUAACCUAACAAUGGCCUUAGCCUAAGUAACUCUGGUUUAAAAUAAACCUGCAGGUCCACCAGGCACAGCCUCCAGAGCCCUCCAAUAUGAAUCAGGCAUAGCCUGAUGAAGUCACUCUCUACAACCCUGACAAAACCAAGAGUGAAGACCCUGGUGAGAAUGGUGACUCCUCUUUAGGACUCUCUCCUCAGCCAGCCGUCAACUCCACCCCAGGAGAAGCCUCCAUGAGUUCCUGACCUGAUCACUGCAGCCUGAGUGAGUGAGCAUCUGCUGGACUUAAACCAAGACUUGAGACUCUAGACUUGACACUUAAGCUGAGCAUGCAGAGAGAAUGUCUGGCACGAGUCUAUCAUGAUUAAGUGUGUUUGCAGUGCUUAGAGUUAACUUAGAAUUGUUUGUUUUGAAUUGAUUAUGUCUAUUGCAGUGCCCAGCACUAAAGGUUGUAAUUUUCUUUUUUCUUUUCUUUUCUUUUUCUUUCUUUUUUUUUUUUUAGAGACAGAGAGGAGAGAGAGAGAGAGAGAAUUUUAAUUUUUUUUUUUUUUUUUAGUUUUCGGCGGACACAACAUCUUUGUAUGUGGUGCUAAGGAUUGAACCCGGGCUGCACGCAUGCCAGGCGCUUGAGCCACAUCCCCAGCCCUCAUUUUCUUGAUUAAUAAUCUAGUUCUUAAUCUUGAUUAAGUUCAUAACUAGGUUCUUAAUCAAUGAUUUUAAAAAAAAGAACCUAUAGAGUCAAAUUGUAUUGAGUGAUUUAAGCAUUGAAAACAGCAUUAGCACAUGAACAUUCUUCAUGUCUCCCCUUGACAUCCCUUAGGGUCGCAAGUUUGCCAUCCAGAGGAUAACCCAGACCCUUGUUUUAGCCCUCACCAUUUUCCACCGUGAAAAUGAGCCACACAAGUUGUUCAACUUAUUGACUCUGCCGUUGAAUAAGAAAGAGCUUGCAGAUCUGAGGCCUGCUUCCCACUUCCAGCCCUCCUCCUUUGAGCAAAACUUUUGCUUGCAGAGACUGUUUUGAUCUGUUGGGGUUUAGUACCCAUGCUCAGUCCAAAACAACUAAUUUUGGCUUAACAAAUGAAACCACUUGAGCUGCAGAACGGUAGCUCAGAGGCUGGGGUGUAGUUCAACGAUUAGAGCACUUACCUAGCAUGGGACUGAGAGCCUCAAUUCAGUCCCCAAUACUGGAGAAAAUCAAAAGCAGCUCCAUUCUUUUACAUAUUUCACAAGUAUUGGAGACUGCAUGUGCCAAGGUCUGUGCAGGCACAAAGAAUAUAGAUGUAGACAAUACAGAUAAGAUCCUUUAAGGACUGAGGAGGUAGCUCAGGACAGAGCUUUGCAUAUCUAAGGCCCUGAGUUUUAUCCCCCUCCAGGACCACACAGACAAAAUAAAACCUUUGCCUCAGGGGCUUACAUUGCAGUAGGGAGAUAGAUCAUAAAAAUUAUAAACAAAUAAAAGGUACAGCAUGAUAAAUAGUGAUAAAUGCAAAUGAUAGAAAACUAAGAAUGUUGUGAAGAGACUGCUCAGAAAAUACACCAAAUCCGAAUUUGAAAUCAUUUGAAGAAUUUUUAUUUUACCUAUAUUGCCAAU